rnacentral:lncRNA from 1 species
CCACCCCAAUAAUCCGGCAUACGCUAUUUAAAAUAAGCAAUGAGAGGAGGUAUUCUAAGAUUAAGUCUCUAUAAUUAUAUCAUAUUUCCUACUCAUGGUUCUUCCAUUUUAUUGCCGUAUAAAUUAUUGGAGGACAACAAAUUGCCAUUAAUUUGAUUGCUAUGUUCUUCCUCUCACCAACGCAUCAAAGAGACCCACAAGCUAACCUAUCCAUCUGGAGACAGCAUUUUUUGUAUUAAGUUAUUUCUUUUUUCUUUAAAGCAUU